CAAGGGAGGGUCUGUCCAAGAGGGAUCCACUGAAGGAGCCUAUCCGUGUGGAAUCCGACCAAAGGAUCCAUCCGAGGYGGGGCCAGCCAAGGGGGUCCAUGCAAGGGUCCACACAAGGUGGAUGUCCAUCCCAGGGGAUCCAUCCRAGAUGAUCCACCCAAGGAGGGUCUACCCAAAGGGACCCACCCACGGGGCCAUCCAAAAGGAUCCAUCCAAGGACAGGGUGCCCAUCCAAGGGGACACCCGUGCACGGCGCGGGACAGGAGCAAGGGCGAGUGCCAGUUGCCUCUCCGUGCCCGGCAGGUCUGGUCCCUGGGCAACGGCUCUCACCACCCCACCAGGACAGUCGAUGGAGGCACCCACCGCUUGGAAACCCUCCCGCCGGGCCCCGGGGCCACGUACUGCAUCCAGGUGGCAGCUUUCAACGGCGCGGGGCUGGGGGUGCCCAGCAAUGUCACCUGCGGCGUCCCGGGUAGGUGACGGGGCGCAGGGAAGGAAGGGGAUCCCUCCGCGGCAUCGCAUCCCGGUGGGGGGGGUAACACCGUGGCCCCCCGCAGAGCCGCUCCUGGAGGCGGUGGCGCGGGGCCCCGAGGCGAUGCCCUUGGCCGCCCUCGUCGCCGGCGCCGGCGCCCUGCUCUGGGUGACCCUCCUGGCCUUCCUGGUCCACCUGUGCCAGCGCCAGCGCCGCGCCGGCGGCCGCCGCGGCAAAGGUGAGCCCGGAGGGUCGGCGGGGACCAACCGUGGACCCCCCUCGGCACCCGCCGCGUGCCGCCCAGGAGUCACCCCCGUGCCCGUCUCCGCAGGUCUGUGCUGCCRCGCCGGCGAGGACGCGGUGGCCCGGCAGAGGCUGGAGGCCGGCGACUCGCCCUGGCUCUCGGGCACCUGGAAAUCCGCCUCCGGCUCCAAAACGCUGGGCAGCAGCAGCAGCCUCAGCAGCCACCUCCUCUGGAGCGACACCAGUGAGUCCCCCCGGCCCCGGGGGCCCGGGACCCCCCCCACGGGGCCUGGGAGCCCCCCG
rnacentral:lncRNA from 1 species